GACGAACGCUGGCGGCGUGCUUAACACAUGCAAGUCGAACGGAGAGGCCCUGCUUUUGUGGGGUGCUCGAGUGGCGAACGGGUGAGUAACACGUGAGUAACCUGCCCUUGACUUUGGGAUAACUUCGGGAAACUGGCGCUAAUACCGGAUAGGAGCUCCUGCUGCAUGGUGGGGGUUGGAAAGUUUCGGCGGUUGGGGAUGGACUCGCGGCUUAUCAGCUUGUUGGUGGGGUAGUGGCUUACCAAGGCUUUGACGGGUAGCCGGCCUGAGAGGGUGACCGGCCACAUUGGGACUGAGAUACGGCCCAGACUCGUACGGGAGGCAGCAGUGGGGAAUAUUGCACAAUGGGCGGAAGCCUGAUGCAGCAACGCCGCGUGCGGGAUGACGGCCUUCGGGUUGUAAACCGCUUUCGCCUGUGACGAAGCGUGAGUGACGGUAAUGGGUAAAGAAGCACCGGCUAACUACGUG
rnacentral:rRNA from 1 species